rnacentral:rRNA from 1 species
AUGGUCGACCGCCACCGCGCCUUCGUCGCCGCCGCGACGCUCUGCCUCGUCUUCGCCCACGGCAUGGCCGCGGCGCGGCCGCUGGAUGGGGACCAAUUUGCCGGCGUGGCACCGGCGGCGGCGGCUGCGGAUAUGGCGAUGGACGUGUCGGCGGCGUCGCCGGAUGGUUCUGCCACGUGGGAGCGCGGGGACGAGGCCCUCGGCGCCGGGAAGUGGCUGCCCCUGCCGCUGCCGACCGCGCUGACCGGCGGCCUGCGGUUCCCGGGGGUGUUCCAGUUCCCUGCGGCGACCGUGGGCGCGUCCAUGCCGUGGAUGGCCGGCGCGCCGCCCGCGCUCGCCGGGCCGGGGAUGCCGGCGCUCGUGCCGCCGUACGUCGGCGUGACCCGACAGGAGCAGCUCAGCGUGUGGGCCUCGCUGUUCAACCCGUUCCGUGUCAGGCCGAGGGUGCCGGCCCAGCCGUCGUCGGUGCCGGCGGAGCCCAGGGUCCCCGCCGUCGCCAGCGCAGGGCUCGACAGGACGACGACGGUGGACCAGCCGGCCGGCGGCGCGCAGAUCGGCGAGCCCAAGUGGGGCGUCUUCUUGGGAUCCGCUACUCCAAACAACAACGGCUAG